ACCAUCGCCACCAGCACUGUUAGGAUCCAGGCACUCUCGACUCAAUUUUACUCCGGAACGAUCACCACGGAUCACCGGCCGCCAACAAACUUACAGUUCAGACUUGUGUUCUGUCUAUUCCUCUCAGUUCGCCGCCACCUUCUCCUAGUGUAAGCCAAUACUUCUUAUUACAGUCUGUUACAAGGCCACUUGGGCCAAAUAAACUUAGCCACUCACAGCUCGGGCCAUAUCGCUCUCUUACUCCUUCUGAGCCCGUCGAGGCCUGCUUCUGGCUUCACAUCCUUCUCCUUUCCCGCACUGGUAUUCUUCGCUUCUUCCGCGUCCUGGUUGCUGAUCACCGGGACACUGACAUUUUCCCUCCCUUGAGUUCCAGCUUGUCCCCAAGCUGGUGCAAAGGAAAAAUGUCGCUUGAUGUCCGCCUCCUCUUCCCAUGUAGCGUAGCCAUGGAUGUAGGCUAGCCCGUCCACUGAGAUGAUUGUUGCUACCAGCAUGCAGUUUUCCCAUCGCAGAGGAGGCAAUCCUGAGAUAAAAUACAUAGAUACUACCAGCCACGUAUGGUGUUGAACCGGCAAUGGAAAACGUUCAGAGUAUUUCACCCGGUCUUCCCAAUUACGUAUCGUAGGAUCAAAGCUACCUUCACUUUGCCCGGCAGGAAAUGACAAGUUCGAAAAUUCGUGAAGACCUAUUUUAUCUGUAAACAAGUUAAACCCAAACGGAUGCCUGGUCGUCGCUUGUUGACAGUUAACACAAGAUCGAACAAAGUCACGCACUGAGGGCUUCAUUCCUGGCCAGCUCAACACUGCCUUGAUGCACCGGUAUGUAACCAGAAAGCCUGACUGCCCACACAGAGUGCUAUCGUGCAAAGUUUUCAUGGUCCGUUGCUGCACUUCAUGGCUCGAAACCAGCCAGAUUUUGUUCUUGUGUCUGAUCACUCCAUGCACUAAGGUGAAGGGUUCCAACUGUCCACCGGUUGAGAAGAUAGCCAUUAUCUUUUGAGCCGAUGCAUCACUUUCAUACCUUUUUGUCACUUCCACCAACCUGGGAAUUACUGAGGAACUGGAGACAACAUUCAAACACACAGAGCUGUCAUCUUGAUGUAGAUCAGGUCGUCGUGGUAGAAUAUGGGCAACUCGGUUGUCCACCCAUGUCCUGUAUACGAUCCAAAAGUGGAGACCCUUCAACCACUGAUCAACAGCAAACAUAAUGGCUGACAUACUUUCAUCUGACUCAUGCACUGUCUGAUAUGGUCGAUCUGUAGAAAUUCCAGAAGCACUCACUUUAUGGCCCAAAAACUCCAACAAACACUUAGGCAAUUUAAGAUGUUGUUGCUGUUGACAGAGUAAUUGAAAGACUGUCUCCAAGUGCUGCACAAGAUAUUUCAGAUUAAAAUUAUAUACCAACACCUCAAGGACAGUAGUAACAGUCAGUACAGAGAUAGACUGAACAGCUAGGAGUUGUUCCACUGCAUCAGGACGAAUUGUAGCUUCUAACUGCAAAAUAAACAAACAGAGCCCCUUGGCUUUUCUAUAAGAUUUGAGAGCGGCCAUCCUUCCAUCCUCAUCCUUGGUACUGAAUGUCCCUAGAGUUUGGUGUUCCUCAUUCAGUCCCGUGGCCUUGCCACCAGACAAAGGAGAUGGAGGUAAGGGCAUAAGUCCUGGCCUAGGUGAAACUUGGGCAGAUACUCCAGGAUCCCACAUUCUGUCCUCCAUUUGUCCCGUGUUCAACAUCACCUCCGCUUGUAACAUGGUCAGUGAGUUGUGUUGGUCACUACUAACGCGGGUAUUCAGAGCCAACCACAACUUAAUCCAACUCAUCUCCUUAGUCCUGGACUUCAUCAACUGAAGCCAGUAGAGGGCUGAUCCUUCCAAGUGCAUGACGGCAAACCGGAUCCACAUUUCACCCGAAAUAGUAAAUAACUCAAAGUCUGUUUCACAACGAUCUCUCCAUACUAUUGGUUUAGAAUCACCAAAUGCAGGAAAACUUCUAUGAGGCAUGUCAAUUCCCAAUCCUUGAGAUUGUUUCAUCAGCGUAGAUUGACCUAAAGAAUCUAGAACACAGGACCAGUAGGUAUGGUUGGCAGGGUUAGCAAUACCUGUAAGUCCAACGGUAGUAGCAGACCCACUCGUCACGGUAAUAGCGACACUUCUCGGUGAUACAGCAAGAGGCGCCAUCACAGGAGCUGCCUCCAUGGCCAUGAUAGCUCCGAAAUCGUACUGCAGCAACCCCAGCUUCGUGGUGUCUUCGUGUGCCACCUCCCUUGACGCAUUGUUGCUCGCCACGGUGGUGUUGUUCCUGCCGAACUGAUAAUGGUCAGCGCCGCCACCAGACCAGAACUGCCCAAGCCCCGACGGUGGCUGCUGUUGCACGAGCACAAGAAGUUUGGAGUUGAAGAUGACCUCCCGAAUUCGGAUCUGCUCCGGCCUGGGGUUCCACCGCGACUUUGAAUCUAGGGUUCGCUCCCGCGUCGUCGAUCCAUCCGCAGUGAUUUCUGAGAGCAUCGAGUUGGUCGCAUCCGCCACACUCGUCGAAGCAGAAGACGAAUCUUCGAUCGUCUUCUGGGUCACCUUGUCCUCCUUCGCUCCGGUUCCUGGUCUCCACCUCUGGCAAUCACUUGGAUCCGUCAGCAAACCCUUGACCGCGAUCUCCAUCCUCUCCAUAGCAGACUGCAUCGAGUCCAUACAACGAUGAAUCUCUCGAUUUCCUUCCUCAAUUUUCGCCAUCAGCUGCGCCAUCGGAUCUUCGAGGAUCGGCCACGCCAUGGUUCCAAUUCUCGCCUGAAAUUGAUUCGCGACAGUGUGGAAGAACUAGCUCCGAAUACCAAAUGUUAGGAUCCAGGCACUCUCGACUCAAUUUUACUCCGGAACGAUCACCACGGAUCACCGGCCGCCAACAAACUUACAGUUCAGACUUGUGUUCUGUCUAUUCCUCUCAGUUCGCCGCCACCUUCUCCUAGUGUAAGCCAAUACUUCUUAUUACAGUCUGUUACAAGGCCACUUGGGCCAAAUAAACUUAGCCACUCACAGCUCGGGCCAUAUCGCUCUCUUACUCCUUCUGAGCCCGUCGAGGCCUGCUUCUGGCUUCACAUCCUUCUCCUUUCCCGCACUGGUAUUCUUCGCUUCUUCCGCGUCCUGGUUGCUGAUCACCGGGACACUGACAAGCACUGCUGCUGCUCCGGCCCGCGACGUGACCCGUAUACGCCCGCGCCAGUAACACCUGCACGCCCGAUGUACGCGCUGCCCUACA
rnacentral:lncRNA from 1 species